rnacentral:rRNA from 1 species
AUUGAACGCUGGCGGAAUGCUUUACGCAUGCAAGUCGAACGGUAGAGGGGGCAACCCCUUGAGAGUGGCGAACGGGUGAGUAAUAUAUCGGAACGUGCCCAGUCGUGGGGGAUAACGUAGCGAAAGUUACGCUAAUACCGCAUACGAUCUAAGGAUGAAAGCGGGGGAUCGCAAGACCUCGCGCGACUGGAGCGGCCGAUAUCAGAUUAGGUAGUUGGUAGGGUAAAGGCCUACCAAGCCAACGAUCUGUAGCUGGUCUGAGAGGACGACCAGCCACACUGGAACUGAGACACGGUCCAGGCUCCUACGGGAGGCAGCAGUGGGGAAUUUUGGACAAUGGGCGAAAGCCUGAUCCAGCCAUUCCGCGUGCAGGAUGAAGGCCCUCGGGUUGUAAACUGCUUUUGUACAGAACGAAAAGGUUUCUAUUAAUACUAGGAGCUCAUGACGGUACUGUAAGAAUAAGCACCGGCUAACUACGUG